rnacentral:rRNA from 1 species
AUGUGUCCCGCAACCGCCGCGACGACAUCCUCAUCCCCAGAGGCGGGGACUUCCCUUAAGGCGAACCUAGUGCACGUGGCGCCGGUACCAUUGAUGCGGGUCGGGCGGCGGUCAGAUCUGCCACGGCCAGAACCGGCGUCCUCUUCCUCCCUAUCUAGCUUCCUCCCAUGGCUGAGAAGAGGGCUUCGUCAAGGAUCCCAUGACGGAGGUCAAUGUGGGAGGCUGCUUCCUCCGAUCCCAGAUCGACCAUCCGUCGAUGGAGGCCAUGAGAGCCACAUGGGCACACACAUGGCUGCGCUUCAAGGUCAACCCUCGCCCAUCCUUUCUCUUCGAUUUGAUUUGAUCUCCUCCCCUAAUUUCCUUCGCCACGCAGCUGCAGCUUGA